UUUGUAAUCUAUUUCAAUAAUAUCAAUCCAGAGGUGUUAUCAAAAUACACCAACUUAUUUGCUUUGGCUCUCUGAUUAGGCUGCCACAUUUGACCUUUCACUAGGUAGAAUUAUUCAGCAUGGACCAUUACUUGAGUACAGUUUUUUGUGUGUAAUGGCUUCAUCAAUUGCGA
rnacentral:lncRNA from 1 species